CCACAAGCGGUGGAUCAUGUUGUUUAAUUCGAUGAUACGCGAAGAACCUUACCAGGUCUUGACAUCCCCUGCAAAGCUAUGGAGACAUAGUGGAGGUUAUCAGGGAGACAGGUGGUGCAUGGUUGUCGUCAGCUCGUGUCGUGAGAUGUUGGGUUAAGUCCCGCAACGAGCGCAACCCUUAUUGCUAGUUACCAUCAUUCAGUUGGGGACUCUAGCGAGACUGCCAGUGAUAAACUGGAGGAAGGUGGGGAUGACGUCAAAUCAUCAUGCCCCUUAUGACCUGGGCUACAAACGUGAUACAAUGGCUGAAACAAAGGGCAGCGAAGCAGUGAUCGUGGAGCGAACCCAAAAAGCAGUCUCAGUUCGGAUUGCAGGCUGCAACUCGCCUGCAUGAAGCCGGAAUCGCUAGUAAUCGCGGAUCAGCAUGCCGCGGUGAAUACGUUCCCGGGCCUU
rnacentral:rRNA from 1 species